CCAAAGAAAGAAUUCCAGAAAUCUGCUGCUGCCAAAUGGCAGCUUGAAAAAUAAGAUGAUCAUUGGACUCAUCAGUUUGUUGCAUCUACAUGAGAUAAUUAUUUGUAUUAACCAAUUAUCCACCUUGAAGCAUUUGUGCAAGAUGACCUCACAAGGCUAAACUAUUCAGCCUGUGGUAAAUGCAUCUUCUAGAAUUGGAC
rnacentral:lncRNA from 1 species